UCGGAUUUGAAAAUAUCGGAUUUGUGCCGUUCACACUGUCAUACCAUGAUCGGAUAUGGGUCGCAUAGGGUCAAAAAAGUCGGAUUUGAUGUGCUUUCGCCUGCAGUGUGAACGUAGCCUAAGUCCGUGGGUCAGAGGGGGCCACCCGAGAUUCAGUCUGUGAGUGUCAUGGUCCCUGUGCCUCACCAGCUGAUCCUGUAUUAGGCAACAUGUGUUUUGUUGUUUUUUGCUCUCUCUCUCUCUCUCUCUCACCUGCCGGGGCAGUGCUCAUAAUGGGCUCCCGCCCCUGGCCCACGCACCUGCUGCCUAUCUGGGUGACCGCAAGGCCUAUUUAAGACGGCAGCGCUGUGUUACUCGUCGCUGGAUCGUUGAGCUAUCAGCGUCAGUCACUCUACCGUUAGUGAGUUCAACUCUGUAAAGUCGUUUCCGUCUGUUCGCCGUUAACUCUGGUUUCUGUGUACAGAUCUACCCCGGACCUUUCCCUGCCUGCCUGUUACCGUGUGGACGAGUGAGUGGAUUUGUGUUACCCCGUUGUGGAGAGAGAAGAGAGAGCCAUUGGAGUGUGUCUGGUUCCCGUCCUUCCCCUCACAUGCCCCGGAGCCCUGGACCCCCCUUCCCUCCCUCCAGCACGUUUGUCCAGCUGAUGCUGAUGUAGAUGGCGCUGACACACGGUCAUCUGGAUCUUCAUCAUUGUCUGUGGUGAUGUCUGACAAUUUGCUGCUUGACCUGACUCGUUCUUCUCUCAUCUUUUAUUUUUCUGUCAUGGUCCUGGGUCAUUUGACCCAGCAUUUUGUGUUUAUUAUUUAUUAUGAUCUUGUGUUCUAGUUCAUUCUGAUUAUGUGUUCGGGUUUAAACUUUUUAGUUUUAAGGGUUUUGGUUCUGUGGAAGUUUCUGCCCAUGUGUUCCUUCUGUUCUCUGUUACUUUGUCUCUGAGUGUCAGCCGUGUUUCCCAGCUGUUUCCUCUCAGUCCCGUUCACCUCUUGUAUUUAGUGUCUGCGUCUUCCCCUGCUCGUCGUUGUGUCGUUCUUCAUUCUACUCUGUUUGUUCUGUUUGCCCGUUUUCCUGUCUGUUGCUUUCCCAGUUUAGUUAGUUUUCUGUUCAAUCAGCAAACUCCCAAUAAAGCUGGGUGUUUUGACUUCACAUUUGCCUCUGUGAGUCUUGCUCUUGGGUUCCUGCCUGCCUUCACACAGCCAUGACAUUUUCUUCUUUUCUUUCUGUUAUUUAUCUUCCUUCUUUGAGUCCCUGCUUCCUCCUUUUCUGCUUUGCAGUUUUUCACUUUGUCCUUUUUAUUUGUUUCCCGUGUUUGUUCCUGCUGCUUUUAUUGGAUGCAAGCUCCUCUGCAGAAAGAAACACAAUGUAGGACACAUGUAGCUUUGGAAGAUGGGUGCAACACUGACUGUCCAGCUCAGCUCAAGAUUCAGUGUUUAGACAUUUUUCUAGCUCUCCCAUCUUCUUCUUCUUCAUCCUCCUCCUCCCUUGGUCUCCUCCUUGAACCUCCUGGUACUGGGCUGGGGGGCAAUAGAACAGGAGCAUCCUGGCCAUUGUCUCCAUCGUCAUCACUGUCAUCUGUGUCACUAUCAGGAACACUUUCAGUGUCGCUCUCAGAUCCAUCAUCUUCCCACCACCUCACUUCGUCAAUAAUCGGAUCUUCUUCUUGCUCAGCUGGGUUUAAUUCAAAGUCUCCUGCUCCAUUAAUGACCAAGGGUCGUUCUAUUUGUUGGGGUGGAUUUCUUUCUCUGUUAUCUCCUACUCCCAAGUCUGCUCUAUUAUUUUCCCAGGGUCUUGCUAUUUCCUGGGGAGGAUUUAUUUCGAUGCCUCCUACCGGAACAUCAACUGCCUCCUCUUGUUGUGGCAGUUGAUUAUCAGCUAAACCACGCAACUGAUCGAUUUCAAGCCAGGGGAGCAUCAUGUGCAGUGCCAAAACCAGGUGAUUGACCGCUGGCCCUUCACCAACAUGGUUUUGUUCACCAUCGUCAUGGUUUUGUGAGCCGUCUCCUCUAUCCAUUUUUUGAAAACAGUCUGCUUUAAUAGACUGGAGGAAACUGGUCGGUACAGCUGUCAAACUUUAGCUGAUUGGUAUAGAACUUUUAAAAUGUCCUUGAAAAAGAUUUUAAAUCUCUUUAGCAAACUCUUUAAAAACACGGAGCAAAUGUCAACUAACCGCAACUGAUUGCUGUGAGGAACACUGCGACCUUACGGCUAUUUAAGGAUUUUCAGAGAUCAAACGCAACAUUCUGAUUGGUUGUGCGCUGUUCUGACCUUUGUUUCGUCAUCGAAUUUGGUUCAUUCUGAUGACGGUCAACGUUCUGCUGAUGAAAAAACGUCACUGGUGACUGAAACUUUUACAGGUGAAGCAUUUCCCACAAAGCCUUGUGCAUAAAGUUUAAAGUAUUCCUCGGCCUCAUGAUUUCGUUUUCCUUUCUGGCUGAAUUAAAAUAAAUUAAUUUAAAUAAAUGAUGAAGAGAUGAACGUCAUAGAUUUCCUUUGACGCUUUGUGUUCCUACUCUUGUGACCUGUGAUGGUAUUUCUUUUGAUGUAUUUGUAUUUUAUUGCAUUCGCAGAGUCUGGUCCAAUAGGAGCGCUGAAUCCCACUUUAGACUACAAAUCGUCAGUCGACGGAAGUUGCAUCACCACAACAACAACCAGUACCGGUGUUGUGCUAAAGUAGUUACCCCGUCUUUUCCAGUGGCUACACUUGAUGAUGGCGACACUAGCAAUUCGUGUUAUAAACCCAGAUGCCCCUGCACAUCGUCAGCAGGCCGGGUGAGAAGUAUGGUCUUCACCAAACCUCCACAGGAGCUGCUCAGCCGAGUCGCUGCCUUCACUCACAGUUUAGAGAUUCGGAUGAAGGGAAACUGCGACUUCAGGGCAGGGCAGUGUGUGUGUGUGUGUGUGUGUGUGGAGUGAAUCGCAGGGUUAACGAUCAUCUCUGAUCAUAUUUAAAUGAAAUUUGGACCUCUGAGGCUCCGUGAUGAUUGUUUUUAUUGAUUCAUGGUGUAGGUUUUAGAGAUUAUCUCAUUCAGAAGGGUGUCUUUAUUCUGCCUAGCUUUCCUCUCUUUUGGAGCUCAAACGGCUCUAUGUGUUAGAUGUGUAUAUGUAACCCUAAAACACUCAGACUUUAUAAAGAUUUAUAAAGUUUUAACAUAUUUAACAUAUUUGGUGAAGUGCUAUUCACCACAUUUCCAGAUCCAGACCUGUUGAGUGAUCUUCAGACCCGAAACGUCAACAUAUUUAGAAAGUUUAGCUCUUCUUUGAAUCCAAAUUCAACUUUAUCGGUUAAGAAAAUGCACUACAAGUAUCUAUGAAACACACACGCUUCUGAAUGAGAUGAUAUUCAGUCAUAACUGGAAAAUGAUCAUGUGUAUCUUUAAAUCUGGAGGUGAAAUGGGACCAGCUGUGAGGGUCACACACAUCUGGAGCUAAUUUUAUUUGAAGUUGAGGACUUUGUUGCACUUUGUCUUAUUUUGUUGUACGUGUUGCUGCCAUAUUUAUAUAUUACUGCUGCCUGUGUUCAUGCGUCUGGUGGACAUGCCAGCUCCCUCAAACACUAAACCUUGUUUAUUUGUUUGUUUGUUUUACUGUAGCAUUGGUUGUUCUUCUAAUUACCAGCCAAUCAGAUUCUUUGCACAGAGAGGAAAUCACAAAGCUCUCCAACUAAACUCCACCCAUAAAAAUCAAAAAGCAACCCUGGUCUUAGAGGAUGGGUGUGCACCUCUGAACCACUACCAGCCGUCUCAGCUGUUUUCCUCAUAGAGACAACCUCCCCUGGACCCUGAAUGACCAGCUUUGACAUAUCCAUAAAGUUGUAGUUUGAUGACCUUUAGAAUAGUUUUGGGGUUUUCACGAGUUUAUCAGAUCAGAGAAGAGCUUUAAGGCUUCCUCCUGGUUGAAUUUCAGUGGGUAAGGAAUUAAAAUGCUGUGUGGUUGUCAUGUUUGACCUGAUUGCACAAAGAUUUAACAUCUAAUUUAACACCAAACCAGAAAACUUAAAAAGCAAACAGCAUCCACUAGAACAGCUCCCAGAGCAGGCAGCUCAGAGUGUUUCAUUCCUGCACUGCAGGAGGGGAAAAAAGCUAAUUUUCAUCAUUUUAUUUGCUGCUGAGGCAUUUAAUCCACAUUAUUCUUUGGUACUACAUUUAUAUUUGAUAUUAAUGAUCAAAGCUGUAAUCUGCAGGAGAGAGGACAGCUGCAGCAGAUUUUACCCCUAAAGCAGCUGAAAAGACUUUCUUCUCCUUGUUGAGGAGAUGGUUUGAAGACAUCUGACGUUUUAUUUAUUUAUUCAGUGUUGAAGGUGUUUGUUUUGACUCGUUUAAAGAGAAGAUGGUCACUAAAGGACUUUUAGAGAUCUGUGUCCAAAUAUCAGUGGUGCUGGAAGCGGUCCAGAGCUGCACGAGGAGGCGACGGAA